rnacentral:rRNA from 1 species
GACGAACGCUGGCGGCGUGCCUAAUACAUGCAAGUUGAGCGCUGAAGGUUGGUACUUGUACCAACUGGAUGAGCAGCGAACGGGUGAGUAACGCGUGGGGAAUCUGCCUUUGAGCGGGGGACAACAUUUGGAAACGAAUGCUAAUACCGCAUAAAAACUUUAAACACAAGUUUUAAGUUUGAAAGAUGCAAUUGCAUCACUCAAAGAUGAUCCCGCGUUGUAUUAGCUAGUUGGUGAGGUAAAGGCUCACCAAGGCGAUGAUACAUAGCCGACCUGAGAGGGGGAUCGGCCACAUUGGGACUGAGACACGGCCCAAACCCCUAGGGGAGGCAGAAGUGGGGAAUCUUCGGAAAGGGAAGAAAGUUUGACCGAGCAACCCCGCGGGGGUGAAGAAGGUUUUCGGAUCGAAAAACUUUUUUGGUGGAGAAAAACGUUGGGGGGGGGGAAAAGCUCUACAAGUGGCGGUAACAACCCAAAAAGGGCCGGCUAACUACGU